rnacentral:rRNA from 2 species
ACGAACUCUGGUAUUGAUUGGUGCUUGCAUCAUGAUUUACAUUUGAGUGAGUGGCGAACUGGUGAGUAACACGUGGGAAACCUGCCCAGAAGCGGGGGAUAACACCUGGAAACAGAUGCUAAUACCGCAUAACAACUUGGACCGCAUGGUCCGAGUUUGAAAGAUGGCUUCGGCUAUCACUUUUGGAUGGUCCCGCGGCGUAUUAGCUAGAUGGUGAGGUAACGGCUCACCAUGGCAAUGAUACGUAGCCGACCUGAGAGGGUAAUCGGCCACAUUGGGACUGAGACACGGCCCAAACUCCUACGGGAGGCAGCAGUAGGGAAUCUUCCACAAUGGACGAAAGUCUGAUGGAGCAACGCCGCGUGAGUGAAGAAGGGUUUCGGCUCGUAAAACUCUGUUGUUAAAGAAGAACAUAUCUGAGAGUAACUGUUCAGGUAUUGACGGUAUUUAACCAGAAAGCCACGGCUAACUACGUGCCAGCAGCCGCGGUAAUACGUAGGUGGCAAGCGUUGUCCGGAUUUAUUGGGCGUAAAGCGAGCGCAGGCGGUUUUUUAAGUCUGAUGUGAAAGCCUUCGGCUCAACCGAAGAAGUGCAUCGGAAACUGGGAAACUUGAGUGCAGAAGAGGACAGUGGAACUCCAUGUGUAGCGGUGAAAUGCGUAGAUAUAUGGAAGAACACCAGUGGCGAAGGCGGCUGUCUGGUCUGUAACUGACGCUGAGGCUCGAAAGUAUGGGUAGCAAACAGGAUUAGAUACCCUGGUAGUCCAUACCGUAAACGAUGAAUGCUAAGUGUUGGAGGGUUUCCGCCCUUCAGUGCUGCAGCUAACGCAUUAAGCAUUCCGCCUGGGGAGUACGGCCGCAAGGCUGAAACUCAAAGGAAUUGACGGGGGCCCGCACAAGCGGUGGAGCAUGUGGUUUAAUUCGAAGCUACGCGAAGAACCUUACCAGGUCUUGACAUACUAUGCAAAUCUAAGAGAUUAGACGUUCCCUUCGGGGACAUGGAUACAGGUGGUGCAUGGUUGUCGUCAGCUCGUGUCGUGAGAUGUUGGGUUAAGUCCCGCAACGAGCGCAACCCUUAUUAUCAGUUGCCAGCAUUAAGUUGGGCACUCUGGUGAGACUGCCGGUGACAAACCGGAGGAAGGUGGGGAUGACGUCAAAUCAUCAUGCCCCUUAUGACCUGGGCUACACACGUGCUACAAUGGAUGGUACAACGAGUUGCGAACUCGCGAGAGUAAGCUAAUCUCUUAAAGCCAUUCUCAGUUCGGAUUGUAGGCUGCAACUCGCCUACAUGAAGUCGGAAUCGCUAGUAAUCGCGGAUCAGCAUGCCGCGGUGAAUACGUUCCCGGGCCUUGUACACACCGCCCGUCACACCAUGAGAGUUUGUAACACCCAAAGUCGGUGGGGUAACCUUUUUAGGAACCAGCCCGCCUAAGGUGGGACAGAUGAUUAGGGGNAAAGUCGUAACAAGGGUAAC